AAAGUCGUAACAAGGUUUCCGUAGGUGAACCUGCGGAAGGAUCAUUAACACAAAUCCAAAACCUAAAACUUGUUCUUUGAGUGUUGUGGGAGAAUACUUGUAUUAUCCCCAGCACAUCUUUAAACCUAUUCUCUAAACCGAGGAUAACUAAGCUAUAAAAAACUAAGAAAAUUUUCAACGAUGGAUAUCUUGGUUCCCAUGACGAUGAUGAACGCAGCGAAAUGCGAUACGCAAUGCGAAUUGCAGAAUUCCUUGAAUCAUCAGAUUUUCGAACGCAACCCGCGCUCAAGGCUUGCCUAUGAGCAUGUUUGUUUCAGUAUCUAGAAUAUCACAAAUCACAAUAUGAUUGACAAAACUUACUUCGGUAAACGGCGUCUUUCAUCAAGUUAGAAUAAAUUCUUAUUUUUGCCCAAUGAAGCAGUCACAUUUAUUUGUGAUCUCAUUGCGAACGAAAUAAUGAGUUUAUAGAUAACAAAAUUUCUUCCUUUUGUAUCUGAAAUCAAGCAAGAUUACCCGCUGAACUUAAGCAUAUCAAUA
rnacentral:rRNA from 1 species